rnacentral:rRNA from 1 species
GAUCCUGCCGGACCCUACUGCUAUCGGGAUGGGACUAAGACAUGUUUGUCGUGCGUCUCUUAGCCAUGAUAGAGACGCGGCGCACGGCUCAGUAACAUGUGGCCAACCUACCCUUAGGACAGAGAUAUCCCCGGGAAACUGGGGCCAAUCUUUGAUAGGCGUGGGCUCCUGGAAUGGACCUACACUGAAAAGGCGUCUGGAUCAUGCUUCAGACGUUGCCUAAGGAUGAGGCCGCAACCGAUCAGGUUGUUGGCGAGGUAACGGCUCACCAAGCCUAUAACCGGUACGGGCCGCGGGAGCGGUAGCCCGGAGAUGGACACUGAGACAAGGGUCCAGGCCCUACGGGGCGCAGCAGUUACGAAAACUCCGCAAUGCACGAAAGUGUGACGGGGCUAUCCCGAGUGCCGUCCGCUGAGGAUGGCUUUUCUCCAGUUUAAGGAGCUGGAGGAAUAAGGAGAGGGCAAGUCUGGUGUCAGCCGCCGCGGUAAUACCAGCUCUCCGAGUGGUAGGGACGAUUAUUGGGCUUAAAGCGUCCGUAGCCGGCCCAGCAAGUCCUCCGUUAAAUCCAGCGAUUCAAUCGUUGGACUGCGGGGGAUACUGUUGGGCUAGGGGACGAGAGAGGCCGACGGUAUUCUCGGAGUAGGGGUGAAAUCCUAUAAUUCCGGGAGGACCACCAGUGGCGAAGGCUGUCGGCUAGAACGAGCUCGACGGUGAGGGACGGAAGCUGGGGGAGCGCACCGGAUUAGAUACCCGGGUAGUCCCAGCUGUAAACGAUGCGGGCUAGGUGUUAGGGUGGCUACGUGCCACUCUAGUGCCGCAGCGAAGGCAUUAAGCCCGCCGCCUGGGGAGUACGGCCGCAAGGCUGAAACUUAAAGGAAUUGGCGGGGGAGCACCACAAGGCGUGAAGCGUGCGGUUUAAUUGGAGUCAACGCCGGG